rnacentral:lncRNA from 1 species
ACCCUAGAUGUGUCAACACUAUAUAAGAGUCCCAUUCUCCACCAAAAUCGGCUACACAUAAGAAACAAGAGGGCUAGGCCGAUUUCAAGUAGUGUGUAUUCUCUCAAAAGUCUUUCAAGAGCAUUUGGUGUUGUGUGAAGCAUUUGAGGCAUCACACUUGGGGUGCUAGGCUCACAAGGUUUCAAGGAACAUAAGCAACAACAAGGUAAGUUAUUCUAUCUUUCAUUCAAGUUAGAAAUUGUUCCCCAUGUAUGCUAGAUAGGAAUAUAACCUUGGAAUUCAACUUUGCAUGAUAAUUAGACAAACAUAGAUCCAAGGUUAUUAGGGUUGCAUGUACACUUAGGAAGUGUUAGAAUGCUCAAAACCCAUCAGUGGUAUCAGAGCCUAGGCUUGUUUGUUUGUUAUUUGUGCUUAAAAGUUGAAGAAAGUCGAAAAUCUUGCUGUCUGACUGAUGGACUCGGCGAGUCCAUGGGGAGGACUCGACGAGUUCAUGUGUAUCUUCAACCUACUCGGCGAGUAGGUUUAUGCACUCGGCGAGUAGGGUCGACAGAGUGCAGAAUUUCGACUUGUGUUGCUGGAAAUGGAUUAGAAUCAUUACCCUAAAAUGUUUUGGUACUUGAAAACUUAUUUUAGAAGGUGUAAUGUCUUUUCUAACUCAUUUACAACAACUAGUUAUCAAAAUUACAAAGAUUAAAUGUGAUUUUGAUUCUUGAAAGUGUUCAUAUUCAUAUUCUUGUUCUUAUGAUGUUUAGAUGAUCAUAGGAAUUAUUUGUAACCUAUGUGGUAGAUUAAUUCAUGAUCAUAAUGUGUUUUAAUGGAGUCCAUAACUUGUCCUCAAGUUAUGGAAAACCAAAAGUCUCUUGGAUUAAAAACCAUUAAAAGAACACAAGAGUUAGGAAAAAUGAAAAGUCCUCAUUUUAUUACUCUAUUAAACUCAUAAGUUACAAGAAAUGAAAAGUUUUGAAAGUUUACAAAACUUGCCCUCAAGUUUUGGAACAAGUAAAGUUAAGUUAAAACUUUAGUUCCAACCCCUAGAAUUUUAAAAGUUAAAAUUCAACCCUUAUACUUAUAUUAUUAUGAUUUAAUAAUUAUAUAUAUAUGUAUAAGAACAAAGUCGUCUUACCGCUAGUACGCCUCAUUCACGAAGCCGGUCUAUAAGGUGGGUAUAAGGUUGUUGCCUAUAAAAUGGUGACUUAAUGGGUGUCCACUCUCACCCACCGCUUGCUUGAUCGGUGGAGGGUCGUUAGCCGAACGGGUAAGACAAGGACUUAUUAAUUCUCAUUCAAAGUAUGAUGAAUAUUAUAAAGUAACUAAAUGUUUUAUUAAAUUCCCAAUCUUAGUUACUUUAGGAAAAAUGUGAAUAAGGUGCUAUUCCAUGAAAUUACACUUUACACUUUGAUUAAGUCGUUGGUGGAGCGUGUGUGGUUAACCGGCACACUAACUUGGACUUAACAAGGUAGGUAAAGGGUGACUUAGGGUUUAUUAUAGUAUCGAUGGAGCGUGUGUGGUUAACCGGCACAUCGAUUGAGUGAUAAACUUUAAGGGUACCAAGUGAUUUGCAUGGUUACUUCACACCUCGUUUUGUGAUCCUCGGUAUCCCAGUCACAAAACUUGGAGGGCACACUCGAGAUUGAAACAUGCCUUUGAAAAGUUCAUUGAAUCUCAAAGAAUCUAGGAAUUUCUAAGAACCAUUCAAAAACCUAAUACUAAAAUAUUGCGGUUUUCGUGGUGGAAAUUGGUGAAUCGUCAUUCACCUACCUUUCAAAUAUGAUAUAGCUUAGAUUACGGCAUACCUCUUCUAAGUUAUAUUAUAUUGUGAUUGGAUCCUAGCCUUAAUAUUACAUUUGGGUGUUUUAUUAAGGACUCUCUUAUAUCUAAACUAAUCUUGUCCUCUUUCCUUCAGAUGUCUUUCAACAAUGCUUCUGGCUCUAAUCCUAAUGGCUCCUUUACCCUUAUGAACUUGUGUGGGAAAGUCACCUUUGAUGGAUCCAACUUCAAUGAGUGGAUCAGAAACAUCAGGAUGAUUACCCGCUACGAGGACAAAGAAUAUGUCCUUGACAAGGAGCUUAAGGAGAUUGAUGAGUCCACUGCAACUCCUCAGGAGAUCGCUGAAUUUCGGGCACAUGAAAGGGAUGCUACGAAAGUGGCUUGCAUCAUGAUGGCCACGAUGACAGCGGAACUCCAAAAGUCUUAUGAGGAUUUCUACCCUUAUGAAAUGCACCAAGAUUUGAUGGAAAGAUACCAUCAAAGUGCAAGACAAGAGAGGUAUGAAAUCAUCUGCUCCAUGAUAACAACCAUGAUGAAGGACGGGGAAUCCGUCACGAGCCACAUGCAGAAAAUGCAAAGGUAUGUGGAUCGUUUGCUGAAGCUUAAUGUGAACUUCCCGGAGGAUCUUGCAAUAGAUAUUAUUUUGCAUUCCUUACCAUCGUGCUAUGAUCAAUUCCGCAUGACAUAUCACAUGAACAAGGAAGAAGUCACCCUCAGCAAACUUCAGGGACUUCUCAAGACCGCAGAAUCAGGUCUUAAGGGGAAGUCGGUUGCUAUCACUCCUACUCAAAACUCUACUCCGGUUUUGGCAAUCGGGAAAAGUCGAGGGAGGAAGAGAAAGAGCUCUUCUAAGGGUACCAAGGUUCGGACCCUUGAUGGCUCUUCUUCAAGUGGAACCAAGAAAGGUUUCAUUACUCCUUCUUCUGACCCAAAAGAGGCUGAAUGCUUCUAUUGCCAUGAAAAAGCUCAUUGGAAGCGGAACUGCCCAAAAUACCAGCAAGAUGUGAAGGAUGGGAAAGUUAAACCCAACCAUGCAGGUAUUUACACUAUCAUUUCUAAUAACUCACCCCAUUCUAAUUCUUGGGUCCUUGAUACCGGGUGUGGUAUUCACAUUUGUUGUGACUUGCAGGGACUAAGAAGAAGUGAGGAUGUGGAGCAAGGAAGGAUAAACUUGAUCAUGGGGAAUAGGAAAGCUAUACCUGUUACCAAGAUUGGAGUUUAUACUUUAUCGCUAAGUAGUGGGUUUAGUUUAGAUUUGAAUAAGUGUUGUUAUUCGCCAGGAAUGGCAAGAAAUAUUAUUUCCUUUCAUGCUUUGUACAAACAAGGGUUUACCUUUUCAUUUAAUAAUGAAGUUGGUUCUAUAGAUGUUUUCUAUAAUAAUGUCUUUUAUUUUAAAGCAUUACCUUGUGAUGGUGUGUAUGAAGCUGUAUCUGUUGUAGAUAACUUGGGAAAUAAUGUUUUGUGUAUUGAUUCUACUAAUAAUAACUUGGAUAAAGCAUCUUUAUGGCAUUGUCGUCUUGGACAUAUAAGCAAGAAACGCAUAGGCCAACUCCAAAAGGAUGGAGUCUUGGAGUCGUUUGACCUAAAGUCAGAUGAUAGUUGCGAAUCAUGCUUACUUGGAAAAAUGACAAAGUCACCCUUCACAGGUUCGUGUGAGAGGGGUGAAGGUUUGUUGGACCUUAUACACACGGAUGUGUGUGGACCAUUCAAACAUGCCACAAGGGAUGCUAAUCGUUAUUAUUUGACUUUUACUGAUGAUUAUAGUAGAUAUGGAUAUGUCUACUUGAUCAAGCAUAAGUCAGAGACUUUCGAGAGGUUUAAGGAAUUUAAACAGGAAGUCGAGAAUCAAUUGGGCAGGAACAUUAAGAUGCUUCGAUCCGAUCGUGGUGGUGAGUAUCUUAGUUCAGAGUUCCUCGACUAUCUAAGGGAAUGUGGGAUAGUCUCACAAUUGACACCUCCCAGGACACCACAGUUGAAUGGUGUGGCUGAGAGGCGUAAUCGAACCUUGUUAGAUAUGGUUCGUUCCAUGAUGAGUCGAGCUACGCUACCAAUCUCAUUCUGGGGGUAUGCCUUAGAGACUGCCGCCCAUAUUCUUAAUCUAGUCCCUACAAAGAAAGUUGCCAAAACUCCUCACGAGAUGUGGACUGGUAAAGUACCUAAACUAGACCACAUCAAGAUUUGGGGUUGCGAGGCUUUCGUGAGACGCGAGACUCAUGAUAAGCUCGAACCUCGAAGCGAGAGGUGUAUUUUCAUCGGUUACCCACAGCGAUCCUUUGGUUACCUCUUCUACAGACCUAGUGACAAUGUGGUCUUUGUAGCAAGAAGAGGAGUCUUUCGAGAAAGAGAGUUUAUAAGCCAAGGAGACAGUGGGAGGCAAAUUGAUCUUGAAGAAAUUCAAGAAUCAAGCGGUGAAGGAACUUCAAACUCUAGCCCUCAACUUGAGGAGGAAACUCCUGUUGAGCCAAUUGACAAAUCUGUACCUCUGAGACGUUCCACGAGAGUUAGGAGUGCACCUGAGCAUUACUAUGGAUUCCAUAUUACUGCAGAAGGUGAGACACUUAUUAGUGAUGAGACACUAGUAAGUCAAGAUGACCCUAACAGCUACGAGGAAGCCAUGGCAGGCCCCGAGUCUGCUAAAUGGAAAGAGGCUAUGGAUAGCGAGAUACAAUCCAUGUAUGACAAUCAAGUUUGGAACUUGGUUGAAAAUGUACCAGGUCGUAAGACAGUAGGGUGCAAAUGGGUCUUCAAGAAGAAGACCGACAUGGAUGGUAAAGUACACACUUAUAAGGCUAGACUGGUUGCAAAGGGCUUCUCUCAAAUUCCUGGAGUGGAUUAUGAUGAGACCUUUUCUCCGGUAGCCAAGAUUAAGUCUAUUCGGGUUCUGUUAGCCAUAGCUGCAUUUCAUGACUAUGAAAUAUGGCAGAUGGAUGUCAAAACCGCUUUCCUUAAUGGAAAGUUGGCUGAAGAUGUUUACAUGAGUCAGCCAGAGGGUUUUGUCAGCAACGAGUACCCUAAUAGAGUGUGUAAGCUUGAGAAAUCCAUUUAUGGAUUGAAGCAAGCACCUCGCAGAUGGAAUCUUUGCUUUGAUGAAAAGGUCAAGGAAUUUGGCUUUUCUAGGAGUGAAGAUGAAUCUUGUGUGUAUGUCAAGGCUAGUGGGAGUAUAGUUAGCUUUUUGGUAUUGUAUGUGGAUGACAUACUACUCAUAGGAAACGACAUUCCAACCCUGCAGGAAGUAAAGUCCUGGCUUGGGAAGUGUUUCGCUAUGAAGGACCUUGGUGAAGCUGCCUAUAUUCUAGGGAUAAGAAUCUUGAGAGAUCGGAGUAAAAGACUAAUUGGACUUAGUCAGAGUACCUACUUGGAUAAGGUGCUGAAGAGAUUCAGCAUGCAGGAUUCCAAGAAAGGAGAGUUACCCAUCCAGAGUAACACCAGAUUGAGUAAGACACAAAGCCCUAGCACUGAGGCUGAGAUAGCAGAAAUGAGUCGAACACCUUACGCUUCGGCUGUAGGAUCGAUCAUGUAUGCUAUGACGUGUACUCGACCCGAUGUAGCUUUUGCCUUGAGCAUGGUUAGCAGGUAUCAGGCGAACCCUGGCAAGGCACACUGGACUGCGGUAAAGAAUAUCCUCAAGUACCUACGGAGGACUAAGGACUGGGUCCUUACCCUCGGUGGGAGUGAUGACUUGAGAGUUGUAGGGUAUAGUGAUGCUAGCUUCCAGACUGAUAGGGAUAAUUUCCGCUCUCAGUCGGGCUGGGUCUUUACCCUAAACGGAGGAGCAAUUUCUUGGAAGAGUUCCAAGCAAGAGACAGUGGCAGAUUCUACUUGUGAAUCAGAGUAUAUUGCAGCUAGCGAAGCAGCAAAGGAGGCGAUAUGGCUGAAGAACUUCAUUGGAGACCUUGGAGUUGUACCAGCUAUUAAAGAGCCAAUGGAAAUUUUCUGUGAUAGUGAAAGUGCUGUUGCCUUAGCCAAGGAACCAAGGGAUCACGGGAGAUCCAGACACAUCGACAGAAAAUACCAUUUUAUCAGACAUCGGAUAGAAGAAGGACUCCUCGUGGCAAAGAGGGUAUCAUCGGAUGAGAACCCAGCAGAUCCCCUCACGAAGGGACUGACUCGGGUUAAGCAUCUCCAGCAUGCUCGGAGCAUAGGGCUGAAGGAUGAUAUUAGAUUUAGUAGUUAGAUAACCCAGAAAUUUGUAAAGUGUAAUUGACAUUAGAUGAUGAAUAAAAGGUGUUUUAUUUAUGAGUAAAGUGUUGCUAUCUCUUGUCGAUCGUUUACUAUAUUUCUUUUGCAUGUUUUGACUUCCAGAAUAAUUUUGUUUGGUAUAACAUAUUAUUCAAACCUCCACAGUCGGUCAUAUGUCGGAAGUAGGUAUGAAUCAAGACUGUCAUGAUUGGUUGCAGAGGUCUAAGGUGUUGGACAAGGCUACAACAAUCAUGAGUGCUCAUAAGUUCUGAGCAUUGGACUAAACCCACGCUCGUUGGAAUCACUUCACGAAAUUCUAUCUCCAGUGAUCGUGAGAUGGUAAUAUCAUAUAAGUCUUCAAACCUAGAGAUAUGAUUUGUUACUUACAAGUUGGUUAUGCAUUGAUUGUACGAAAACGCAUUGGUAACUCGAUGUUAUAAAACGUGCUUUUGUGUGUAAUUCAAUGAGUGGUAGAACAAACAUAUGAGUCGAAGUUUAUAUGUUCUUUCUUGGAUUAGAAGCUGAUAUCUGGGCCCCUCGAUGAUUUUGUUUUGACCUAUGUACCGGGCUCGGUCAGAACUAAGUUGAUGUGUUCAAUUAAGUUCUUUGUCAAACAAAUCGGAAAUCUAAGUUGAUUUUGUUUUGACCUAAGUACCGGGCUCGGUCAGAACAAUACAUUGUUCCAUGUAUUUGUCCGGCUGAUAUCUAGAACAGAGGAUUAUAUGAUCACUUAUCUUAAAUGGCGUAUCAACAUCUUCUCAGUUCCGAGAGACCUUGAAAGAGCUACGAUUGCCGGUCGGUUCCUGAAGUACUAGAGAUAUAGUUAUUAGACUUAUCCAAGUGGGAGACUGUUGGAUAAGGUGUCUAAGUCCAUAACUAUUUCUGGUUAGUACUUGACCCGACCCGGCAUGGUCCAUUUGGGUUGCAUGGCACCAUGCAAUUGGAUAGACUAAAUGAGAGAAAUAACACUUGGAGAUUAUUAAUAUAUUAUAAGUUCUAAUAUAUUAAUAAUAUUAUUUGAUUAGUUUGAUCAAAGAAUUAAUUUGGAAUUAAUUAAGUGAUCAAAAGAUAACUAAUUAAAUAUAUGGGUUGAUUAUGUAAAUCAUUCAUAUCUUGUAUAGUGGGCUAAGAGGCUCCAUGGAUUAUCAAGUUGGGUUCUACCCAUAGGAUGCUCCAUGGGAGUUACAAACCCAUGGGUCAUGGAAAUGAAGAGUCAUGACACAUUAGGGUUUACAUGGUGUAACCCUAGAUGUGUCAACACUAUAUAAGAGUCCCAUUCUCCACCAAAAUCGGCUACACAUAAGAAACAAGAGGGCUAGGCCGAUUUCAAGAAGUGUGUAUUCUCUCAAAAGUCUUUUCAAGAGCAUUUGGUGUUGUGUGAAGCAUUUGAGGCAUCACACUUGGGGUGCUAGGCUCACAAGGUUUCAAGGAACAUAAGCAACAACAAGGUAAGUUAUUCUAUCUUUCAUUCAAGUUAGAAAUUGUUCCCCAUGUAUGCUAGAUAGGAAUAUAACCUUGGAAUUCAACUUUGCAUGAUAAUUAGACAAAUAUAGAUCCAAGGUUAUUAGGGUUUCAUGUACACUUAGGAAGUGUUAGAAUGCUCAUAACCCAUCAGUUCUUAGUGAACGACAUUUCAGCUAUAGUGUUAUUUGAUUCGGG